rnacentral:rRNA from 1 species
UGCCAGCCGCCGCGGUAAUACGGAGGGUGCGAGCGUUAAUCGGAAUUACUGGGCGUAAAGCGCACGCAGGCGGCUCGACCAGUCAGAUGUGAAAGCCCCGGGCUCAACCUGGGAAUAGCAUUUGAUACUGUAGGGCUUGAGACCGGGAGAGGUGAGUGGAAUUCCCAGUGUAGAGGUGAAAUUCGUAGAUAUUGGGAGGAACACCAGUGGCGAAGGCGGCUAACUGGCUCGGUACUGACGCUGAGAUGCGAAAGCGUGGGGAGCAAACAGGAUUAGAUA